GCGGACGGGUGAGUAACACGUGGGUAACCUACCUAUAAGACUGGGACAACUUCGGGAAACCGGAGCUAAUACCGGAUAAUAUGUUGAACCGCAUGGUUCAAUAGUGAAAGAUGGUUUUGCUAUCACUUAUAGAUGGACCCGCGCCGUAUUAGCUAGUUGGUGAGGUAACGGCUCACCAAGGCAACGAUACGUAGCCGACCUGAGAGGGUGAUCGACCACACUGGAACUGAGACACGGUCCAGACUCCUACGGGAGGCAGCAGUAGGGAAUCUUCCGCAAUGGGCGAAAGCCUGACGGAGCAACGCCGCGUGAGUGAUGAAGGUCUUAGGAUCGUAAAACUCUGUUAUUAGGGAAGAACAAACGUGUACGUAACUGUGCACGUCUUGACGGUACCUAAUCAGAAAGCCACGGCUAACUACGUGCCAGCAGCCGCGGUAAUACGUAGGUGGCAAGCGUUUAUCCGGAAUUAUUGGGCGUAAAGCGCGCGUAGGCGGUUUUUUAAGUCUGAUGUGAAAGCCCACGGCUCAACCUGGGAGGGUCAUUGGAAACUUGGAAACUUGAGUGCAGAAGAGGAAAGUGGAAUUCCAUGUGUACGGUGAAAUGCGCAGAGAUAUGGAGGAACACCAGUGGCGAAGGCGACUUUCUGGUCUGUAACUGACGCUGAUGUGCGUAAGCGUGGGGAUCAUACAGGAUUAGAUACCCUGGUAGUCCACGCCGUAACGAUGAGUGCUAAGUGUUAGGGGUUUCC
rnacentral:rRNA from 1 species